CCUACGGGAGGCAGCAGUGGGGAAUAUUGGGCAAUGGACGCAAGCCUGACCCAGCAACGCCGCGUGAAGGAAGAAGGCUCUCGGGUUGUUAAAUUCCUUUAAUGGGGAAGAGCAGUAGACGGUACGUCUCGAAUAAGCUACGGCUAACUACGUGCCAGCAGCCGCGGUAAUACGUAGGUGGCAAGCGUUGUCCGGAUUUACUGGGUGUAAAGGGCGUGCAGCCGGGGUGGCAAGUCAGAUGUGAAAUCCACGGGCUCAACCCGUGAACUGCCUUUGAGACUGGUUCCGUAGAGUGUCGGAGAGGUAAUCGGAAUUCCGGGUGUAGCGGUGAAAUGCGUAGAUAUCAGGAAGAACACCAGUGGCGAAGGCGGAUUACUGGACGAUAACUGACGGUGAGGCGCGAAAGCGUGGGGAGCAAACAGGAUUAGAUACCCUUGUAGUC
rnacentral:rRNA from 1 species